rnacentral:miRNA from 1 species
ACGGACCGUAGAUCAAUCCACAGU